AAGUUGUCCAGUACUUUAAAGUAGUUCGUGUAUUUUUCGGACAAACAAAACCCAGGUUCUCCCCGUAACCCUGCAGACGACCAUAUUCUUUGCACAGAGAGUUCACCGUUUGGCCCCCGCUUUUUCUCCGUUCGAUUAGCAUUUUCAGAGGGCAACGUGGUAUUAGUGGGUCCCAUUUGAAUCUUUAAAAUCAGAUAUGUCGAAGCUAUUUGCGAGGAUUGUUGGGUACUUCGGCAAUCGGAAUCUGGUUGGGGUGGACAAAGCGGGCAACCGGUACUUCACCAGAAAGGAAGAGAUUGAUGGUAUCAUGAAAGAGAAAAGAUGGGUUCUGUUCAGGGGAGAGGAGGAUUCAACUUCUAUUCCAGUUGAAUGGAUAUGCUGGCUUAAUGGGCAGCGCAAAAUAGCUCCAACCCCUGAGGAAAUUAUGGAACUGGAAGCUAGGCGUGAACGAGUUCGACAGAAUGUUGCUCGUCUCAAGAAAGAAGAGGAGGAGGAAAAGAGAGCCAAAGAAGGGAAUGCUCGCAAAACCAGCAUCAGUGGUAAAGUUGGAGGUCCAGACUUGAAAAGUUUCAUUCGACAAUUUCCAGAUGCAUUGGAAGGUGGCAAAGUCAAGGAAGCUUCUGAUGCAAUGGAUGGCACGAGGAACUCUAAAGAGAGAGCGACAGAGAAAGCAGAAACAGAGCAAGAGUCUUCGGAACCUACCGGAUCUGGCGCAUCGUUUAGGCCAGGGACAUGGCAACCUCCAUCAUGAAUGAUCUCAUGUUCAGGGGCAUUGUUCCAUGGAGCUAAUGUUUUUGGCAUACUGCUCCAUCUAUGUUCUUUAAAUCAGUCUUCUCUACAAUUUCGGUAGUUUUUGUGUGCAACAGUGCAAGUGAAAUUAGGAUUCGAAUUUUUCUCUUCAACAUACAAAUGAAGAGAAACUGUGUAACUGUGUAUGCUUCUUGAGGAGUUCCUGCUGGAGGACUGUCCGAGUACCAGAUAGCCCCAGAUGCCUUACUAUAAUACCAUAACCAACUCAUUCACAAUAUUUUAUUUUAUUUUUUGAGAAAUUUAGAUGAUUCCUAAACAUUAAAUUAAAGAAUAAUGUUAGAUAUAAGUUUGUGCAA